UUUAUUAGCUUACUUUACUCUAAACCCUAGACAGAGCUUGACAGAAAGCAUCUCUUUUACACAGAGCCG
rnacentral:tRNA from 1 species